ACGGAUUGGUGCAGCGGCUCCAGUAAUGCAGUGAGCCGAAAGGCAAAUCUCUCAAUUUACCGGUCAAUCUACGUUCCUACCCUCACCUAUGGUCAUGAGCUUUGGGUCAUUACCAAAAGGGCAAGGUCACGGAUACAAGCGGCUUAUAUGAGCUUGCUUCGUAGGGUGGCUGGGCGCUCCCUUAGAGAUAAGGUGAGGAGCUCUGUCACCCGGGAGGAGCUCGGAGUAGAGUCGCUACUUCUCCACAUCAAGAGGAGCCAGUUGAGGUGGCUCGGGCAUCUGGUUUGGAUGGCUUUUGGACGCCUCCCUGGGGAGGUGUUCCGGGCAUGUCCCCCCGGUAGGAGGCCCUGAGGAAGACCCAGGACACACUGGAAAGACUCCGUCUGUCGGCUGGCCUGGGAACAUCUUGGGGUUCCACCGGAAGAGCUGGAGGAAGUGUCCAGGGAGAAGGAAGUCUGGUGCAAUGAGGCCGUCAGUAGACUGCAGGCAGAACAGAAGCUACACCCACUUCAUGCAUGUUAUUCAGCAUUAUUUGUUUCUUGUUAUUUGGAAAUCGUGUACUAAAAUGCCAGUGUGUUGUUUCUAGAUAACCUUUGACAAGAUCUCCUCAUUGCAGUGGGCAGGCAGACUAAAUGUGUUUAAAAACAACAAAAAAGGCAUCUUCAUUCACAUGUUCACUUAGAUUUUUACGUUAAAAUACAUGUCCAUUUUAUUGACUGUAUCUAAAAAUAUCAAUUUUAAAAUUUAAAUUAAGAUAUGAAAUAAUACUAUAUAACAUACAAUGGCUGAAAUUAUAUUAUUGUAUACAUUAAGUCAUCAAAUCAGUGUCAGCUGAGUCCAUCAACUACUGUAGGUUGCCUGUAGGGAGUUUUAAAGUCCAGAAGGUGUUAGUAUUCAGUGACACAGUAUCAAUACAGUUUUGCAACGUGUCGAAACGCUUCCUGACGCCUCAUCUACCCAUCACUACCCAAACUAAGAACACAUAACAAAUAACACAACACACAGACUAGACAAACCUGGGGCCCGUUUCAAGAAGGAGGUUUAACAAACUCUGAGUUAAAACGAAACUCUGAGUUGAUCUACUCUGAGUUUGCAAACCUGGAGUUUUCGGUUCCAGAACAGCUGAAAAGAGUUGGUUUAAGCAACUCUGAGUUGUCUGACUCAGAGUCAAGCGCGUGCGCCGCGACGAUACAAAGCCCUGAUCAAUGGAGUGAAGAUAUUACGAGUCACCAUGGCAACAGGACAACAAAAGACGUCCGGAAAUGGAUAUGAUACGUCAAGCAUAUAACGACUACGAGUCUAUAAUCCGUAGAAAAAGCAACACGGCUGCAGCGGCGAAAGAGAAAGAAUUAGCUUGGAAGACAAUAGCUGCUCGAGUCAAUGCGUAAGUUUACAUUUUAAUCAUACAGUGUUCAGCGUAACUAAAUACUAAAUAAUUUUAGUAUUGUUGUCAUUUUUCACUCGUAAAGUAAAGACUUUUUCACUCAUCUAAGGCGUUACUUCAGUAAUUGCAUAAAAUACCGACGUUUGUAUGAAUUAAAAGUGCAGCGUUAUGUCUAUGCAUUUUUAAAAUUCCUGUUGUGGUUGAUGUGGGAUUUGUAAAGUAAUGAUAAUUCAAUAAUCCAAUACGUUUUAUGGAGAGCAAUUAUUACAUUAAUCUAAUUAGGUUUUUAAAAGUUACCCAAAACACGUAAUAAUAUAAGAAAUUAAUUUCAGUUUUCAUGUAGGCACAAUCCUGCAGGCAUAAAAGAACGUGACUAAAAAUGAAAUAUAAAAACAUAAUUCAAACAGGUAAGGCACCAUCAUAUCAUGGGUGUAGACUACCUGACUUUACAAUAUUUGACAUAUUAAAUAACUAAAUAGCAUGCAGAGUAUAGCAGUGCAGCAGCAUUUUCAACAUGGCUGUAAUGUUUUCACACAGUUAAAUCAUUUGACCUCUACUCAGCCAACAGAAAGAAGGCAGAGGCUAGAACAACUGGUGGAGGACCUGCACUGACGCAUGCAGAGGAGAAGGGCCUCACCCUGAACACUGGAAAGCAGGGGCUAAAGGAAUUUCUGGAGGGAGUUCAUCAGAACCAGUCACUCCCCUGGAUACAAGUGCAUUUGUAAAAUAUUCUGAUGGUAAUAUAUGAAUCCUCCUGUCACAACAGAAACCCAGAAUGUUGUGAGCAUCAUACUAAAUAAAGCUUAAAUUGUGAUAAGCAGUAUUAUAAAGUGUAAUAUUAAUACAGUUUAUACACAGCACAUGAUUUCUGAUUUUUGUGUUGCGUAGCCUAAAUGAUGUAACUUGAUCUCCAAGUAUACAAGUAUACAUUAUUAUCUCCCCUCUGCCCCAGAGUGUGAAAGAACAGCAGGAGGAGGUCAGUCACAUUCUGCUGCACAGAUGCACACAGUUCAGUGAUGUUCAGUAAAUGCCAGAGUUCAAUUCUGUAAGAGUAAUGAGGAACUAUGUCAUGUAACUCUAAAUCUUCUGUAUUUUAAUUUACCGGUUAUUGAGUUGUAUAAACUAAAUCUCAAGGAAAUGUUAUACUUGUACCACAAGAUUGAAAAGCCAGAUCUAGAAAUUGAAAUUCCCAAACACAAGCUGGAGAUGAGUGUAUAGUUAAAGGUGAAUUGUAUGAAUUAUUGGAAGAAGAAUCAUAAAAUCUAACAAUUGCCUUUGUAUUUGUAGGAAAUGGAAAAAAACAAAUAAAUUAUGUUUUACAUCUAUUCAGUUUCUUUUAUUGGUGGUGAUGGUUGAUUAAGACAUUAAAGCAAAUCACAUCUGACUGUCCAUCCACUCUGCAGAUUACCAUGAUGGAAGGAGCCUUCCUCAGAGUCUUGUAUUUGUAGGGCAGGGUGUUGCUCCUCUCUAAUAAUUGCAAUAAUGUGGAGAACAACACAUGUCCCAAUAAUGUCACAGGCCUCUCAGGUGUUACCCUGAGGUGACGUAGGCACUGAAGACGUGCUUUCAACAGGCCUAUGGUCAUUUCCCCCUGGGCUCUUAUUCUGCAGGGCCACAUUAAAGUGCUGCUGGGGGCCUGCUUCAGGUUCUGGGUGAGGGGUCAGUAGUGUGGGCUGGCAUUAACCCCUAUCUCCAGCAGAAAGCUGUCAAUCUCUCCUAGAAGAAAGUUCACAUUACUUUAGUGCUGCAUAGAAGUGUUCCUGUGAGUGUGAGUGCAUGCAUUGAAAUAAGUCUAUAGGACAUACAUGUACUUACCCCAGUGCAGGCUGUUAUUUAGGGUUGACUCACGAUAUAUUCAUGAAUUCACGUUUAUGAUAUGUGCAGCAUCACAUAUGAUCUUGGUGAUGUAAACAAUGUAAUGUCAGUUACUUCUGUAACAUUGUAUGUAGAACUUUUGUAUGUAGAACUUUUCUACAUACAAUGACUUCACUAACAUGCUCAGCAUCUCCAAUGUUAUAAAGAAAACUACCGUUUGCCAAAAAAAAAAACGUAACGCAACACAAAGAAUCUGUUCGUAUGUAAAAGCACGGCCACGAUGGGUGAUGUGUUUGACGUAUGGGUGAAUAAGUUUGUAUGUAUGAAGUCUCGAUAAAAACGGUACCGCUCAAAUAAAUAUGCACUGCGAUAUGACAGAAAAUUAACUCGUGGCGUUAAAAUCCUCUCGCGGCGUAAAUUCAAUGCCGUGUGAAUUAAUACAUCGUCCUCAUCUACAGGAUCCUCUAGAAACGGACAUUUUGGUCUCUGCGCGAAGGAAACAGGUGAAAUCUAUGAAUGAAUUGAAAGAUUAAACGAGGUAUUUAAACACUGUUCACUUUAAAAAGGGGCGGAGACCGAAGGAAACUCUGGGUUUCCCGAAUAAAACCUGCUCGCGACCAGGUUUGGUUCACAGAGUAAGUUGCCAUAGUAACUGACUCUGGGUUUCGAUUACCCCGCUUCUUGAAACGGGCUUAAACUUACCCCACUUUACGGGUUUAAGUAACCUCGCUUUCUGAAACCGAAAACUCAGAGUUUUCCUCAUUCCGGGGUUAACAAACUCAGAGUUUCCACAAAACCACCUUCUUGAAACGGGCCCCUGGGGUGUGUUCCAGAAAGCGGGUUAUGUGACAUACCCAGGUAAGUUUGAGGGUAAGUUAGUAAUUAACCUCAGCUUUCGGUUCCAAAAACGUUUGUAAUAAUAUGUGCAGCAUCACAUACGAUCUUGGUGAUGUAAACAAUGAUACGUCAGUUACAGUGACCAUUAGAAAGAGUAGUCAGUGCACCUGCACAUUUAUCAGUUUAUUUCAGAUCACAGCAAGAUGUUAUUAACUGAUCAUCAUUUUUCAGAUUAGCCUCAAUAAAACAAAUUAAUUACCACAUACCUGCAAUCCUGUAAAACUCCUCUUUAAUGGCUUUAAGGAGUUUGUGUCAAGGAAAGCGCUUGAGAUCAACUAUUCUACAAACAGUGGCUUCACUAAUGUGCUCAGCAUCUCCAAUGUUAUAAAGAAAACUACCGUUUGCAAAACAAAAACGUAACGCAACACAAAGAAUCUGCUCGGAUGUAAAAGCACGGCCACGAUGGGUGAUGUGUUUGACGUAUGGGUGGAUAAGAUUAUUGACAUAGAGUAGGUAUGGAGUCUAGAGAAAAACGGUACCGCUCAAAUAAAUAUGCACGGCGAUAUGACAGAAAAUUAACUUGUGGCGUCAAAAUCCUCUCGCGGCAUAAAUUCAAUGCCGUGUGAAUUAACACAGCGUCCUCAUCUACAGGAUCCUCUAGAAACGGAAAUUGGUGUGGGUGCGAGAAUGUAUCUGAGAGUGCAUUGGUUCACGUAUGAUUGACUAGUUUGUUGUGAGAGAGUCUAUGGUGUUUGUCUGUGUUGAUGUGAUGAUGUGUGUUGCACAUGUGGGUGGGUGUAUGCGUCUGUGUUUGUGUGAGUUGGUAUGCGUGUGGUGCGGUUGGAGUGUGGGGGGUCCGGUUUUUCGCCCGGGGUACGAUGAUCGUCUGCCUGGGUGGUGUCUUUUCUGCUGACCCCACCAAUUGCUGGCCUUGUGCUGCAGGCCGCGGUGGCGCCAGGGGAUGAGGUCGGGCCGAUGGGGUAGGCCCCGCUCCGCUCGUCUGGGGGUGGUGGACUGGGGGCGGGCCCCACUCUGCGCGCGGGGGCAUCUUCUGGCGGGCUCCCUACGGACCGUGGGUCCUCGGGCUCUACUCUUUCAGGCCGACCCUCCCGCCGGGGGGAGUGUUUGCCCCUGGUUCUCAUGGGGCGGACAGCGUUGACCCCCGGUGGCCCACUCUGGCCUCGGGUGCUGUCUCUGUGGCUGCUGCAGCUCUGCCUGGGGGGCUCUGUGUGGGCGGCUUGGGUCGCAACACCUGCCCUCCUGGAACUGAAGGUGUGUGGGCUCCCCGGCUGCUGGGAUUCCUUCCUCUGCUUGCUGGAUGGGCGUAGUGGCCGAGCCCCUCACAUCACCCUGGCUUCCACAAGUGGCAUUGUUCAUGCACCAACGUCUGCCUCACCCUUUGGGUGAAUAAUGUUAAGCUACAGCCUUACUAACCUUGUAGUGGGACACUUUCCAAAUCCAACUGUAAGUAUUAUUGACACUUAUCACUACCAUUAUGAAUAAUGUGUGAAUAUGGAAUUUGUGGUAUUGUAUGUCAUGACUUUUAUUAAGUAGUAUGGGAUAUGUAUAAUAAUGCACAUAUGUAUGUAUAUUGUAUGUAUAUGUUUGUAUUAGUAUGUGCACAUACCUUAGCACUAUUAUUGGUAUUAGUAUUAAUCUCCAAUGGUAAACCACAGUACAAAAAUUGUUUAGUUAUGAAUGUGUUAGCCUAAGGUACAUCCCUGCUUCUUAUUUAUUUUUUUAUUUUUGUUUUGCUCCGAUUGUUUACUUAACAGAUUUGCUUGGUUUCAGCAGCUGGUUGCACCUCUUACCCCCCCCAUCCUCCUGCAUACACACCCUAAAGCAGAAACCUAACCUGUCCACCAACACAGCAACAUCACACACAUUUUGGAUUAGCUAAAUAAACCAUUAAAUAAACCAUAAAUCGGGAAGAGUAUAUAUAUUCUAUAUAUACUCUUCUUGUUAAAGCAAAGCUGUCCAUCACAAUAUGGCAUUCAGCAUAAUAUAUGCUGCUUGCUAAACUGCUGGACAGAACAAAGAAAAAAAAAAAAAAGAAACGGAAAUUUUGGUCUCUGCAUGAAGAAAUAGGUGAAAUCUAUGAAUGAACUGAAAGAUUAAACAAGGUAUUUUGUAAUGGAAAAAUUUUGCCUUAUUAUUUGACUGACUAAUAAUUUGUGAUAUAUGUUUGUCUUUUACACCCGGACUCUGGCUCCUUCCUAUCUGACUCCCCACCAGACCCAAGGCUGUUAAAGCCAAUGCAUCUUGUCUUGGAAGCUCGGUGCUCUUUUCUUUGGAUAACAAGACAUGAUGAUGCAGAAGUGAGAAAGCAAACAUUCUCACUCACAGCGAGAUAAGGUGGCACAAACAACGAAAGGGGUUAAAAGGCAGAAGCAACUUGAGGAUCGUGGGCUCUUUGCAUCACACCUUUGUGGUGUUUGCACUGAUCUGAUCACUGAGCUGGUUUUUGGUUUGUUCAUGUGCACGAUCAACAUCCAUGCUUUUUAUUUGCUUUCCCUAUUAUUUUUAUUUUCUUUAUUAUUUCAAUAAAUCGCACAAAAGGACAACACUCUUAUCUGCCUCUUUAUGGGAAAUUUCCACCACAUAUUUAAACACUUUCACUUUAAAAAGGGGUGGAGACCGAAGGAAACUCUUGGUUUCCCAAAUAAAACCUGUUCCCGACCAGGUUAGGUUCACAUUGCCAUAGCAACUGACUCUGAGUUUCCAUUACCCCGCUUCUUGAAACGGGUUUAAACUUACCCCGCUUUACGGGUUUAAGUAACCCCGCUUUCUGAAAUCGAAAACUCAGAGUUUUACUUAUUUUGGGGUUAACAAACUCAGAGUUUCCACAAAACCUCCUUCUUGAAAUGGGCCCCAGGUAUUUUGGAACCGACAUACUCAGGGUAAGCAGGUUCUGGGUUAAUCAACCCAGAGUUCCGGCUUUAGCAGAAAGUUAAUCAACCCUGCUUUCUGGAACACACUCCUUGACUUAAGACAGGAAGGCCAAACAUGAGACUGGCACAACUGGCAUACGCCCACGUCCAGUAGCAACUUUAAUGAACCAACAAAGACAAUGUGCAAACUAAGGCUAUAAACACAAGUACAAACAGGUGAUAACGUUGAACUGACAGGAAAUCACAUGAUACACAAACGAGAGGCGGAGCCCCCCCUGGAGGCAUGGAUGCCAGAGUCCUAACACUCAGAUUGAAAUGAUGAUCUGCUGAGUCCAUAUUGUGCCUGUUAGGAGGUAAGGAUAUGAUAAGUUGUACAACAGGACAGUACCUGUUGAGGUAAUCACUGACCUUCUCCAUGUCAGUUCUAAAUCACAGCUACAAAUAAUUGAAACGUUUGCGUACGAUAUUGUCUAGAGCAAAGGUUUGCAGCUGUCUGGUGAAGUGUGAAAACCAGAUUAAGUAGACAGAGGAAGCUGACAGUUUCUUUAACUGAGCUCCAACCAUUUCUGUGUAAGAAUUAACUCAUCAUUCAGAAGUAAUACAUCAUUUUAUUAUUUGUGCAUUCUUGUGAUUUUCAUCAGACAUCAGCAGAAAUCACAUUAAAAGUCCUAAAGUUGCUGUGGCUAAUGUUUAUUCCCAGAUGAGCUUCAGUGACAAGUCACCAAGUUUCUCCUGCAGCAUUUUAUUGACUCUCUCACUCUGAGCAGGAGAGAACAUGUUCUUCCAUUCACCGAUCUGACCUGUAACAGCAAAACAAAAGCUGAAUCUGAUGUCUGGUUGUAUAAUUCAGCACAUGUGGCUGUUUUUAUCAUGCUACCUUUACGCAUGAAGCUUCCACUGAACCGUUCUUUUGGUACAAACUCGUAGUUGGCUUUUGGAUCUUUCUUCAUCGUCCUGAAGGUGCAUUUUUCGACCACUUGUUCAAUGGCUUUUUCACUGAGGUUCUUCCCUAAGAAGCUGCAGAUCUUUGUUACAGCUGCCUUCAGGUCCUGAAAGACAAACAGUGAACUAACAAAAGGUGACUCAGACAAAAACCCACACAGAUCUCAUGUUACUGUACCAGAAGCAUGUCUUCAUAGGUGAGGAAGAGGAUGUUGUACUGGUCCUUCUCUAGAUGCCAUUCUCUGAUGUGGUCAAACCAGGAUGAUCCUGAAACUGCAAAAUUAGAAAUUGUAUUUCUUAUUAUUUCACGUGUACUGUAUUUAUAUCACUUGAUCAUAUGGUUUUCUGAAAGCUGCCCAGUGGUACAUCCAUCCAUUCAUUAUCCUGAACUGUUUGUCCUCAUCAUUGUCACAAGAACGUGGCGCACAAUUGACUUUUGACAAAAUGAAGGGAACACUCUGUACAGGUCGCCACAUAAACAAUUAAACUGUAACUUUCUUCUCCUAAAAACAACACUCGGUUGGUGCCAGAAUGAUAAGCAAACAACCCCUGUUGAACCCAGGUUUAAAAAGAACACUCUGUCCUGGAGACGGGCUCUCUGCUUCUUUGCUUAUGCACAUGUUGCUUUCUUUGUCUUCCAGCUCUAAAAUUAGAACUUCAAAUGUACCAAACAAUUUAUGAAGAUUCUAUUAGUUACUACGAUGAUUGAAUAUUAAUAGGCACAUAAAUCCAUUAUUUCUUAGACAACUCAAUUUGUAGAUUUCAAAGUAAAAAGGCUCUUAACACUAUAUUAAUAUCUAUAAUGUAUCUGGACUAUUUUAUGGUCUUGACGUAACGUUCAACCAGUGGAUCUCACCGUUGCCUUUUAUGUACUGUUCAAAACACCAGUCAAAGCUCUUUGGAGUCUCCAGGUCAGCUAAGGUUGUGCUGAAGUGGUAGUAGGAGACCAGGGUGUCCUUAAGAUUACGCAUCACGUAGAUGAUCUAAGACAAAGCAACAACAAUCACUGCUUGAACAAAGAAAUGACUGAUGUUCUUCUCAUGUUGCACUAAUAAUAAUAAAAACAACAUUUAUCCUCAGACCUACACGAUAACAUGGGUCCAAUCAAUUAAUUCUAGCAAUAUAUUGAAGAGACUGAGGGCAAGAACCAUGUCUUGACCUUUUUUUAUAACAAAAUGUAUUUCCACACAGACCUUGGCCUUCUUGUCCUUCAGUCCUGGAGGCAUGAGAGCGGGCUUGAGAUGGGAGGAAAAGAGCCGCGGAGACGGACGCAGAGAGUAGUCGUCGUGGCCCACCGGGUACUCCAGCCACGGCAUCUGAUGGGAGUUGUUGGUAUAUUUAUUCAGACCCCCACCUAACUCACAGAUGGAGAUGAUGAUCUGCUGAGUCCAUAUUGUGCCUGUUGGGAGCAAAAGUUAAAAGUUUGUACAGGACAGUAAACUGGAAAUUCAGACGAUAAAAUUCAUAUUCACUGACCUGACUUUGGGUAAGUCACGAGGAAAAUGUCGCUGUCUCGUACUUCAAAGCUCUGCAGCGAAUCAAUGUGCUCUGCAGUUGUUAAACCAGUGACAAAGGUGUGGUUUUUAUACCUGGUCAGGUAAUCGCUGAUCUUCUCCAUGUCAGUUCUAAAUCACAACUAGAAAUAAUAAAAACUAUAGUUAGUAAUAAUAUAGUUAGUCACAUAGCCACUGGAGCAAAGGUUUGAAGCUGUCUGGUGCAGCGUGUGGAGUCUGGACUGUGGUUAGCGUGCACAAACGCGUCUGCUCUAAGAGCCGAUACCUUGUAAAGAAGGAGAAGAGCCGCUAUUGGCCAGGAAAAUCUGUGCACAGUAAAGCGAGACUAUUUUUAUGGAUGCAGCAUUUGGUAAAUCACGUGAGAGGACAGACUAGACUCAUACCAUUAUGUGAAAGACGUUACAGGGUCAGACGUUACUAAUACAGGGAGCUUAAUGGUACAGGUACACAGAUAAGGAGCCAGAUUUAAAAGCAGGCACAUUAAAAAAGUGAAAUAAUGACAGAAUACCAAAAAAGAAGCAGCAUUUGAAUGCAGUUCAAUGAUAAUGGAGAAGGAAAACCUUUUUUUUUGUUCUGUCCAGCAGUUUAACAAGCAGCAUAUCUUAAGCUGAAUGCCAUAUUGUGAUGGACAGCUUUGCUUUAACAAGAGAGGUAUAUAUAAAAUAUAUAUACUCUUCUUGAUUUAUGGUUUAUUUAAUGGUUUAUUUAGCUAAUCCCAAAUAUGUUUGAUGUUGCUGUGUUGGUGGACAGGUUAAGUUUCAGCUUUAGGGUGUGUGUGUGUUCAAGAAGGAGGUUUAACAAACUCUGGGUUUAAACUGAACUCUGAGUUGAUUUACUCUGAGUUUGCAAACCUGGAGUUUUUGGUUUCAGAACAGCUGAAAAGAGUUGGUUUAAGCAAUUCUGAGUUGACUGACUCAGAGUCAAGCGCGUGCGCCGCGACGAUACAAAGCCCUGAUCAAUGGAGUGAAGAUAUUACGAGUCACCAUGGCAACAGGACAACAAAAGACGUCCGGAAAUGGAUAUGAUACGUCAAGCAUAUAACGACUACGAGUCUUUAUUCCGUAGAAAAAGCAACACGGCUGCAGCGGCGAAAGAGAAAGAAUUAGCUUAGAAGAAAAUAGCUCCUCGAGUCAAUGCCCAACAGAAAGAAGGCAGAGGCUAGAACAAUUGGUGGAGGACCUGCACCUCCACCUCUGAUGUAUGCAGAGGAGAUGGCUCUCAGCAUGAACACUGGAAAGCAGAGGCUGAAGAAAUUCAUCAGAACCAGUCACUCCCCAGGAUACAAGUGCAUUUGUAAAAUAUUCUGAUGGUAUAUAUAUAUGGUAAUAUAUGAAUCCUCCUGUCACAACAGAAGCCCAGGAUGUUAGUGGGAAAGAACAGCAGGAGGAGGGCCUGUCACAUUCUGCUGCACAGAUGCACACAGUCAGUUAUGUUCAGUAAAUGCCAGAGUUUAAUUCUGUAAGAGUAAUGAGGAGCUAUGUCUUGUAACUCUAAAUCUUCUGUAUUUUAAGUUACUGGUUAUUGACUUGUAUAAACUAAAUCUCAAGGAAAUGUUAUACUUGUACCACCAUAUUGAAAAGACAGAUCUAGAAAUUGAAAUUCCCAAACACAAGCUGGAGAUUAGUGUAUAGUUAAAGGUGAAUUGUAUGAAUUAUUGAAAGAAUCAUAAGAUCUAAUAAUUGCCUUUGUAUUUGUAGGAAAUGAAAAAAAAAAACAAAUAAAUUAUGAUUUGCAUGUAUUCAGUUUCUUUUAUUGGUUAUUUCGGGGUUAACAAACUCAGAGUUUCCACAAAACCUCCUUCUUGAAACGGGCCCCUGUUGUACUGUGGUUUACCUUGGAGAUUAAUACUAAUACCAAUAAUAGUGCUAAGGUAUGUGCACAUACUCAUACAAUCAUAUACAUAUCAUAUAUACAUACACUUAUGCAUUGUUAUACAUAUCCCAUACUACCUAAUAAAAGUCAUGACAUACAACACCACAAUUUCCAUAUUCAUACAUUAUUGAUAUUGGUAGUGAUCAGUAUCAGUUAUACUUACAGUUGGAUUUGGAAAGCCUGUUCAGGUGUUGAGUGUCCCACUACAAGGUUAGUAAGGCUGCUGGUUGCACUUUCUUCGGUGUUAUGCAGAAUGGUAAGAUGGUUGAUUGUUUUCCGUAGAAUGAGGUAUUUAUUUAUUUAUUUAAAUUGCCUGAUAGUUGAUCGUGCUGUUGUUUACUGCCGGUGUCGCGCCGCCUUGUUGAAUUUCUCGUGCUGUUCUCGCAGAGUCUCGCGUUCUCUCACAGCAUCGCGCUUCCUUACAGCAUCGCAGACGGCAAACCUGAGUGCAGACUUUGUAAAAUGAACAUAUCUGUCAACUUCUAGUAAAGACUAUUUUUUAUUUUGUGUUAUAAUGUUAAGACUUUGGUAUUUGAUUAGUUUGCUGUGGUUCUGUGUUCAAUUGAUAAGGUUUAAUCAAAAUGGUAAACAGUAGUAACUGUGAACGAAAUAAACAAAUGUUUAAAAACACAGACCAUUUAUAAUUGCUAAAUUAGGCCAAAAUAAGUAGGGAUGUACAUUAGGUUGACACAUUCAUAACUAAACAACUGCUGUACUGUGGUUUAACUUUUGAAAUUAAUAUUAAUACUAAUAAUAAUGUUAAGGUAUGUGCACACACUCAUAUACAUAUAUCAUCUACAUACACAUACUGUAUGCAUUGUUAUACAUAAUCUCAUCAAUCUACUUAAUAAUAGCCAUGACAUACAACAACACAAUUUCCUUAUUUACACAUUAUUGCUUAACCACAGCUUAACCAGGUUGACAGGUGUUCGCAUACUCCUUGUCAAAAUUGCUGCACAGGCGAACAUGAGAUCAGAAGGCUCACUGUAUGAUCAACAUUGGAAAUUAAAAUGUACAUUUUUUAUACUGUCCUCUUCCCUGAAAUAUCAACACAUCGUUCUAUUGCUGGGGGUGAUUUAGAUAGAAGUAUUCUUAGUUUUUGCAUUGACUUUAGUUGUUAAGAAAUUGGCACUAGUGAUUUCAUAGUUGGACACAAAUUCUUCAGAAGAGGUAAACUUGUCUCUUGUGCAAACAUGUUUCAGAUCUGUUAUCCAUUUGAUAUGCCAAGUUGGAAAGUGUAUUGCCUUUCUGUUUUCUGUGAUGUCUGGAUUGUUUCCGAGAGGUAUUUUUUGGCAAAGAGCAAGCAAAGAUUCAUUAAUUUUAAGAAAUUCCCACCACGCUGUCAGAGAUGCUUCUAUGCUAAUGCUCUGGUAGCAACUGUGGUGUUAGAUUUUGGUGCUGAUAAAUGGUAAAUUUGCAACUUUAAUAUUGUUACGAGCCUCAGUGUGAACAACACUCCUUUAUUUUCUUAUAUCAACAGCGGGGACACAACAGGUCUCACCACACUCUUUUUAAGCCCCCCGGAACUACACAGAACAAAAACUCCCGCUCCUUUCUCCCGGAAGCACACCUGACAUCACGCAACUAUCUGCGCUUCAAAAUAAAAGAGCCACAUAACACAAUACGAACUGGAACAGU